GGGUGCCACAUAAGCCUCCAAUAUUGUUGAGUUAUCCGAGCGGCUAUGAACAUUCAUUAAUGAGAUUUUUUGGUACAUAUUUUCAUUUUUUCUUGGGUAGAUAACUAGGCAUGGAAUUGUUGGGUCAUAUGGUAACAUUUUAAAACUUGCACCAUUUUACAUUUACACCAGCAGCGUAAGAGUUCUAGUUUUUCCACAUCCUCCCCAAUACUUGCUUCUGUCUCUUUUUUAUUAUAGCCAUUCUAGUGCAUAUAAAGUAG
rnacentral:lncRNA from 1 species